GGCUCAGAGUGAACGCUGGCGGCAGGCCUAAUACAUGCAAGUCGAACGGCAGCACAGUGGAGCUUGCUCCAUGGGUGGCGAGUGGCGGACGGGUGAGGAAUACAUGGGAAUCUGCCCAGUCGUGGGGGAUAACGUAUGGAAACGUACGCUAAUACCGCAUGCGCCCUUCGGGGAAAGUCAGGGACCGCAAGGCCUGACGCGAUUGGAUGAGCCCAUGUUCGAUUAGCUAGUUGGCGGGGUAACGGCCCACCAAGGCGACGAUCGAUAGCUGGUCUGAGAGGAUGAUCAGCCACACUGGAACUGAGACACGGUCCAGACUCCUACGGGAGGCAGCAGUAGGGAAUAUUGGACAAUGGGCGCAAGCCUGAUCCAGCCAUGCCGCGUGAGUGAAGAAGGCCCUCGGGUUGUAAAGCUCUUUUGUUGGGGAAGAAAAGCAGUUGGUUAAUACCCGAUUGUUCUGACGGUACCCAAAGAAUAAGCACCGGCUAACUUCGUG
rnacentral:rRNA from 1 species